UCAUGAACGGGACUCUAACGUCUGUGUUUCUGGGUGCGUCUUGUUAUAUGUAUGGUGAUGCUUGUGGGCAAAUAUCUCGAGAAAGACAGGGUGGAAGGGUAUUCACCCAGAUUUGGAGAAAAAUAUCUUACGUUGAGCUUUGCCCAAUCAUUAAAAAAUUCCACUCCAUUGCGCCCUUUUAGAAAAGACGAGUUAGUGUCUGUACAUUGGUUUGAGUGUAUGUUGGUACAUGUAUUAAGGCAUGUGCUAUUUCUUUGUUAAGGACCAUGAAUUCUUUUUUCCGUUUACGUGGUCGAACAUGCAUUCGCAUGACGUCCUCAGCAAGUGAAUGUGAACUCUAAUGUUUAUCAUGCAUCCUUUACCCUCAUCUUCUCAGUGAUCACCUUGACCCCCUUGUGUUAAGGCCCAUCCAAAAUAUUUAUCAAAACAAUUCUUUGUCUUUGGCGGUCUUUUUUUUAUUUAGGAGAGGCUUAUGAACAAUGCUUAGUUGUUUAUAUGUGGAUGUGCUUUAAAUGUCGCUUUAGCAGAUUAACCCUGAAGUUGAAGGAAACUGGUCAGCAUCUGGAAUCUGCUGCCUGCAGAGUGCAAGAAAACACACCACUGUAAUUGUACAGACAGUGACAGCUCGUGUGUAAACUUCUAAAUGAGCUUCCAUUGGCUUGGGGAGGCGGCCUUGAAGAUGACAAGGACGAAACAAUUAAGCGCUCGGCAGAGAAAUAUGCCUUUUAGACGACUGCAAGUCUGCAAGGUAGACGCCGGCGGCGACGGUGCUGGCGGAAAUCAGCUUACCAGACUUGUUGGCAAUCGGACUUUGUCAAUACAUCACCAGCGUCUGCGCCCACCGAACUCGGCUUGAUUGAUGGGCAGGGGAAAGGUUGACAUCGAUGUGUGAGAGUGUAUGGUUACAGCAUUGUACAAUACACUUUGCUAAUAUACGUACCAUCCAAAACAAACGUUGAACUUUAGAUAUGGAGCAUGUGUAGAAUCCAAAGUGUGUUUGUAAUGAGGCAGACGUAUAGGAAGAUUAAAAACAAACAAUACUAAAGAGCUGUUUCUAUUACACUGUGUGUGUGUGUGUACAAUGUUGGGGGCUGACCGUGUGAUAAUCCGGCAAAGCUACAAAUUUAAAAAGAUAUUAUUUCACCAAGAAAUGCAAAAUCACAAAUAUUCAGGAAGGCGUUAAUGCCUUUACUACAAAGAGAUGGUAAAUUCUGUUAUUGAAACAAGCGGCUACAAGUUUUUUUCUAAGGCGGUUCUGCUAGUUUUGUUUGGUUGGUUUUUUUUUUUUUAAGGAGGUGAGCACGGUCAACGUCAGAACACGCCUACAUUACAAAAUCUUAGCUCGGCAGAAUGGGAAGAAUCCCCCCAACCACCCCUAUCCAACUCGACGAAAUGGGAAGAAAACCGUAUUGAGAAGGAAAACAUACGAUCUCCUUACGAACUAUGAGAGAGUAUAUAGUGUUGAUCUGUUUAUAAAAACUGAACUUACUUUUUUCAAAAAAAGAAAGACCGGUGGGUUUUCAUACAGUUUAAAAAAGAAACCGAAGAAAAAAGUUAUUUUAAAAUGCGAAAGACCUGCUGAUGAACUAGACAGUGGAAGACUCUACUGCGUAUAAUCUCUGCUUGUGCCUUCCUAUGUCGUGAGCCCAGUUCAUCAAUCAUUGGAUGGCAGCUAUUUCUUCUUCUUCUUCUGCUGCUGCUGCUGCUGCUGCUGCACGACUUCAGCACGAUCCAUUUUAAUCCGAAGUUGGAGGCAACUAUUUCAGGAAACAAAAGAUGCUGGGAAUACACAGCGGUGCCAAGAGGCUGAAAAUGCUCGUUCCUCGCAGUAGCUUUUAGCCAGCUCUGCCCCCGAUGUCUCCGCGACGACACACGACGAUGAAAAAUUGCGCGCGCAGACGGGCCCCAUUACCGCGCGCGUUAUGUUUGCCAUCUGCAGGAAGCGAACGGUCGGGGAGUGGAUGUGGGGAGCAAGGAGGUAUGCACGCGACUUGGGUCUUUGUGCCGUUCCUCGCCCACCCCGCCCACGGAAAAUUAACUGCACUCCACCUGGCACUCUGCCCAGGAGUGAGCUGCGAGCACCACCAGGAGCUUCUUUUCGCGAAGAUGUCCACAGAGCACAAAGUUAGGGCGGCCGCGUACGCCUGGACUUUCCACACGCCGUUUCCGUUUUAACUGUGUGGUGGUGGUGAUGUCAGCGAGGUUUUCUUCUUUUUUUUUUUUUUCCUUUCCUCCAUGGGAUGCGCUGCAGACCAGCUGGUAGUUCGUGGUAGGAAUAACUCCAUCGAAACGCGAUGACACAUUUACAGUAGAUGGUUAAACUAAACUUGCUUUAAUUCAGUCGACUGUGUGAGAGGGGCUUUGCUCGAAGCCGCGUGUCGUUUUUGUUUUCACGCUGACCAGGCAUCUUUGGCGUUGCGAAGGGUAGUCAAGGAGUUUGCAAACUAGGGUUUCAAAUUUGUUUCCACCUAUACUUCCCUGCCGCCCGAGUGCAAUCUGCUCGCGAAAUGGUUUAAAAGUUCUACUCAUCAGUGCAAUGGCGAUUUGGCUGGUUGGGUUAGGAUCUCUCCUCAGGCACACCAUUGCAUAUGGCUUCUAUUAAGAGCUACUUAGGCGUUUUAUAUAUAUGGUAUUAGCUGCAUGUCCGGCACAAAACGCCAAAACUCUCCCCUCGCCGCUUUUUAACUGCAGUAAAAGCAACGUUUCUUCGGAUGACGACGGUGAACGUGCCAUCAGAUCAGCAGGUGCUGCAAGCUAAAUCCCACUCCUCGCGAUGCAUAUGCAUUCUUUCAACAACAAAACCAUUGCAUUGUUGGCUGAACAGGUCGUGAUGCGUUAGUUUUCUUAACACAUUUCUUUGGAUAGACAACAUGAAACACUCCCUUAUAACAUGCAGUAUUCAACUCCCGUUUACGUCCAAAAAUCAUUUGAAACUUACAACAAACACUGUGGAAACUCCAUGGGGAUAUAUGACUACAACCAUGAGGGUUAAACGCAACACACUUAUAACAAAAUAUAACACAACAAAAAAUAUAUAACGCAAAAAACAAAAAAAAAACUACCACAAAAUCAAAUUUCAGCCACAGGUGUGAAUAAACAAAUUUAAAUACCCUUGGUUUAAACCCAAUGUCUUCAACCAAACAGUCAAUUCAAUGUGUGCAUAAGCAGCAUUCAGACACCCUUCUUUCACUCUCUUGACCUACGGUCACUGCAAUGAGUAUAGGAGUCAGUUUUCGUAAAUCCAAAUAUUUUUACUCCUGUUAUAUAGUAAUAUACUUUAUUAAUGAUGGUCCUUUGCAAUUCCAGGGAAAGAAUCAAAGACCCGACGGUUUUGCGUGGCACUGAAUUUAAUGUGGAAAUAUUUUUAAAGUUCGUGUCUACGAGCGUGCGUCUUUCUCUCUCACACACAAUGAUUCUGUACACUCACGUGUGGUAGUCACAACAAUAUUGUGUGAUCUUGGCUUUGCAAGCCGCAAAGCAGUGCAAAUGCGCUGCUCAGGUGGUGGCAUCAUCAAUCAACGUGUUGACGACAGCGCACAACAAUCGCCAAGAAGCUUACCGCUCCACUCACUUGACAGCGUUUGGCUCAGCACCGUUGGUCUGCGGUCGUGAAAACGGUUCACCGAUUAGGCGGCCGUUAACGCUUACUGCCCAUCAAAGCUCGCACACCGAGGGGAUUACCGUCAACAAAUGAGGUUCUGCUGACGUCUAACACACGACACCAUCAGUCUGCCAGUGGCGGUUGUUGACGCGUCGUAAUGCUCAGAUACAUCAAGAAGAUGGGAUGGACCCACUUUAGUGGUUUGGUUGACCAAGGAAGAUAGGAUCAGAGGGGUAAGACUGGGUUGAAAGAUCAAGAAGUAGACUAAUACUUACACAUCC
rnacentral:lncRNA from 1 species